GGGUUGUGAGGUUAAGCGACUAAGCGUACACGGUGGAUGCCCUGGCAGUCAGAGGCGAUGAAGGGCGUGCUAAUCUGCGAUAAGCGCCGGUAAGGUGAUAUGAACCGUUAUAACCGGCGAUACCCGAAUGGGGAAACCCAGUGUGACUCGUCACACUAUCAUUAACUGAAUCCAUAGGUUAAUGAGGCGAACCGGGGGAACUGAAACAUCUAAGUACCCCGAGGAAAAGAAAUCAACCGAGAUUCCCCCAGUAGCGGCGAGCGAACGGGGAGGAGCCCAGAGCCUGAAUCAGCAUGUGUGUUAGUGGAAGCGUCUGGAAAGGCGCGCGAUACAGGGUGACAGCCCCGUACACAAAAGCGCAUGUGCUGUGAGCUCGAUGAGUAGGGCGGGACACGUGGUAUCCUGUCUGAAUAUGGGGGGACCAUCCUCCAAGGCUAAAUACUCCUGACUGACCGAUAGUGAACCAGUACCGUGAGGGAAAGGCGAAAAGAACCCCGGCGAGGGGAGUGAAAAAGAACCUGAAACCGUGUACGUACAAGCAGUGGGAGCACCCUGUGUGACUGCGUACCUUUUGUAUAAUGGGUCAGCGACUUAUAUUCUGUAGCAAGGUUAACCGUAUAGGGGAGCCGUAGGGAAACCGAGUCUUAACCGGGCGUUAAGUUGCAGGGUAUAGACCCGAAACCCGGUGAUCUAGCCAUGGGCAGGUUGAAGGUUGGGUAACACUAACUGGAGGACCGAACCGACUAAUGUUGAAAAAUUAGCGGAUGACCUGUGGCUGGGGGUGAAAGGCCAAUCAAACCGGGAGAUAGCUGGUUCUCCCCGAAAGCUAUUUAGGUAGCGCCUCGUGAAUUCAUCUCCGGGGGUAGAGCACUGUUUCGGCUAGGGGGCCAUCCCGGCUUACCAACCCGAUGCAAACUGCGAAUACCGGAGAAUGUUAUCACGGGAGACACACGGCGGGUGCUAACGUCCGUCGUGAAGAGGGAAACAACCCAGACCGCCAGCUAAGGUCCCAAAGUCAUGGUUAAGUGGGAAACGAUGUGGGAAGGCCCAGACAGCCAGGAUGUUGGCUUAGAAGCAGCCAUCAUUUAAAGAAAGCGUAAUAGCUCACUGGUCGAGUCGGCCUGCGCGGAAGAUGUAACGGGGCUAAACCAUGCACCGAAGCUGCGGCAGCGACACUCAGGUGUUGUUGGGUAGGGGAGCGUUCUGUAAGCCUGUGAAGGUGGCCUGUGAGGGUUGCUGGAGGUAUCAGAAGUGCGAAUGCUGACAUAAGUAACGAUAAAGCGGGUGAAAAGCCCGCUCGCCGGAAGACCAAGGGUUCCUGUCCAACGUUAAU
rnacentral:rRNA from 1 species